UACGAAGGGAGCUAGCGUUGUUCGGAAUUACUGGGCGUAAAGGGUGCGUAGGCGGUUUGACAAGUCAGGUGUGAAAGCCCCGAGCUCAACUCGGGAACUGCGCUUGAGACUGUCAGGCUAGAAUUCGGAAGAGGUGAGUGGAAUUCCCAGUGUAGAGGUGAAAUUCGUAGAUAUUAGGAAGAACACCAGUGGCGAAGGCGGCUCACUGGCCCGGUACUGACGCUCAGGUGCGAAAGCGUGGGGAGCAAACAGG
rnacentral:rRNA from 1 species